rnacentral:rRNA from 1 species
GGCUCAGGAUGAACGCUAGCUACAGGCUUUAACACAUGCAAGUCGAGGGGCAGCGGGAUUGAAGCUUGCUUCAAUUGCCGGCGACCGGCGCACGGGUGAGUAACGCGUAUCCAACCUUCCGUACACUCAGGGAUAGCCUUUCGAAAGAAAGAUUAAUACCUGAUGGUAUGAUGAGAUCGCAUGGUAUCAUCAUUAAAGAUUUAUCGGUGUACGAUGGGGAUGCGUUCCAUUAGGUAGUAGGCGGGGUAACGGCCCACCUAGUCUUCGAUGGAUAGGGGUUCUGAGAGGAAGGUCCCCCACAUUGGAACUGAGACACGGUCCAAACUCCUACGGGAGGCAGCAGUGAGGAAUAUUGGUCAAUGGGCGAGAGUCUGAACCAGCCAAGUAGCGUGAAGGAUGAAGGUCCUACGGAUUGUAAACUUCUUUUAUAAGGGAAUAAAACCUCCCACGUGUGGGAGCUUGUAUGUACCUUAUGAAUAAGCAUCGGCUAACUCCGUG